rnacentral:rRNA from 1 species
UACAGAGGUCUCAAGCGUUGUUCGGAUUCAUUGGGCGUAAAGGGUGUGUAGGUGGCGCCGUAAGUCGGGUGUGAAAUUUCGGAGCUUAACUCCGAAACUGCAUUCGAUACUGCGGUGCUUGAGGACUGGAGAGGAGACUGGAAUUCAUGGUGUAGCAGUGAAAUGCGUAGAGAUCAUGAGGAAGACCAGUGGCGAAGGCGGGUCUCUGGACAAGUUCCUGACACUGAGACACGAAGGCCAGGGGAGCAAACGGG